rnacentral:tRNA from 1 species
GCCUGAGUGGCCGUGGGUUAGGCAUCUGACUUCAGCUUAGGUCAUGAUCUCAGUUUGUGGGUUUGGGUCCCACGUCGGGCU